rnacentral:rRNA from 1 species
GGGGAAUAUUGCACAAUGGGCGGAAGCCUGAUGCAGCAACGCCGCGUGCGGGAUGACGGCCUUCGGGUCGUAAACCGCUUUCGCCUGUGACGAAGCGUGAGUGACGGUAAUGGGUAAAGAAGCACCGGCUAACUACGUGCCAGCAGCCGCGGUGAUACGUAGGGUGCGAGCGUUGUCCGGAUUUAUUGGGCGUAAAGGGCUCGUAGGUGGUUGAUCGCGUCGGAAGUGUAAUCUUGGGGCUUAACCCUGAGCGUGCUUUCGAUACGGGUUGACUUGAGGAAGGUAGGGGAGAAUGGAAUUCCUGGUGGAGCGGUGGAAUGCGCAGAUAUCAGGAGGAACACCAGUGGCGAAGGCGGUUCUCUGGGCCUUUCCUGACGCUGAGGAGCGAAAGCGUGGGGAGCGAACAGGCUUAGAUACCCUGGUAGUCCACGCUGUAAACGGUGGGUACUAGGUGUGGGGUCCAUUCCACGGGUUCCGUGCCGUAGCUAACGCUUUAAGUACCCCGCCUGGGGAGUACGGCCGCAAGGCUA